AGUAACACGUAAACAACCUGCCUUCAGGAUGGGGACAACAGACGGAAACGACUGCUAAUACCGAAUAAGUUCCAAGAGCCGCAUGGCCCAUGGAAGAAAAGGUGGCCUCUACCUGUAAGCUAUCGCCUGAAGAGGGGUUUGCGUCUGAUUAGCUGGUUGGAGGGGGUAACGGGCCCACCAAGGCGACGAUCAGUAGCCGGUCUGAGAGGAUGAACGGCCACACUGGAACUGAGACACGGUCCAGACUCCUACGGGAGGCAGCAUG
rnacentral:rRNA from 1 species